GCCAGCAGAAAUAUCAUCCUGCAGUUCUCAAAUGGUUACCCACUGAAGCUAAGCAGGGUUGAGCCUGGUCAGUACCUGGAUAGGAGGCCUCCUGGGAAGCUAUGGUUGCUGCUGGAA
rfam:Lepisosteus oculatus linkage group LG5, whole genome shotgun sequence.